ACAUGUGAGUGAAGGACUCCACCGCCCCCACCGCCCCCACCGCUUCACUGCCCUACAACGGCGAUGAGUGAACUCCGUGGCCACUGCACUUCACCACCCUACCAACUGAAGACGGCGAUGAUUGGAAUACUUGGUUCUGCGACCAGACUCUUCCCUUGCAACUUCCUACUUAUCUCUGCCCUACCAGCCGAGGUUGAACCAGUGGUAAAAAAAUGAGGUGGAGGAGGAUAUAGUGGUUGCUCAUAAAAUCAAGUUUCCAUUCUCAUGUCUUUCUGAGGUUGGCCGAAAGUCGAAGUAAUAAAGAGAGAGGGGCCACUCUUAUUGGACAAACUAAUUAGACUACGCACUACCAAAAACAACCACCCAAGUCUGUGUUUUACGGAUAAUGAAAGGUCACCCAUUUGUUUUGGUUCGACAAAAUGGAGGGUGUAGACGUUAAUGUUACCCAUAACGCUUCACCAUUUGCGCUCGUAAACGAUUAUGUUUUUAGAUGAACGACAGAAGAUAUUCGUUUAAUGAAUAUAGAUAAAGAGAAAGACGUCAAUCAUAGGCAAGGCAAGGUUGAUGCACGUCUAAAUAACACCAGCCAACCUCUAAACAACACAGUGUCUUGGCAAUCCCUCCCAUACCAGCCAACCUCUAAACAACACAGUGUCUUGGCAAUCCCUCCCAUAACGCCUAAUCCCAAGAUUAACCAGACAAAACGUCCGCCAGUUGGGUCACCAGAUAUAGGCUUGGGUACACACUAUUGGUUCUGACGAGUAGGUGAGUGUUUUACACAUAACCCGGUCACCACAGAACUCCGAACCGUCGAGUAAGUGAGAGAGAGAUAGAGUUGUUGGUAAGGGUACGGAGGAACUGCGAUAGCCGGCCACCGUCGAAAGUGUUCCGGCACAACCGCAAAGAUCUUUCUGGUGCUUUCAAAACGAAAGGCAGAUAUAAUGAUGGUAAUAACGGCUUUCGCAAACGAAGGACUAUGGGAAUUUUUCCAACAGCAGAGGUUCGAACUCUGGUUACUUCGACGACGUCGGCAAGACAGAGUCAAACCGCAUUGGUUCCUAGGCGCCUAUGAUCGGCUCUGCUCAGUACCUCAACUAAAACGCCUUGAGAUGUGUUCAUCAGAAUCCCAAAUCAUCCCAAGUUUUAUCAACAACCAAGUUUAGGAAUCACAUGAAGAACAUCAAGAUUGAAAAGCCAGUAUUGACUGCCAUGGGAUUGGGAGUAAUGAAAUCCAUGGAAGAAAAGAAAAAUAUUAAACCACAAAGCCACAAGCUUUGAAGCUAAAAGUAUGGGUGAGAGUUGAUAAUGUAGGUGCACUUAUCCAAGAACUAAGUGGCCUCUUAAAAAGUGGCAAAUGUAGCCAAUAUGGUGAAAAUGGAAGCAAUAUUAAGAGGUUAAAUGUAACCAUUUUCCUUAUUCCCUCAAUUGAAAGUGGUGUGAGAGUCGUUACAAGCCACCUGAAGGUAAUUUAAGCCUUAAAAAGGGGGGCCUUAUCCUAGAUUGUACAAAAGGGUUGUCGUUAGUGAAGCUUUGAAAGUCAUGUUGUCCAUUAUAAUGAUGAACCAUAGCAAAGGGUCCAGGAUCAGCAGAGGUUGUAGCCCUCUUGACAAGUGGCUCACUUCUUAUUAACCCACGAUCACUACCAUCAAACUCCCUCUAAGUAACAUUAGAACACUAAGCCAUCAUCUAUAAUAUUGCUUACAGUUUCUCACUCAUCUUCCAAAGGUAUUAUUAGCAUACAAAUUUCUAACUAAUAUUCACUUAGUUAUUCUAAAAAAACACAUUCUUUUGUAUUUUUUUCAUUUUAAUGUCAAUAAUCUAUAUCAAAAGUUAAAGUUAAAUAUAUAGUAUCUAUAGUAAACAUUUGUAGCACAGUAGCGGUGCUAUAGUUCCUCCAUUUAGACAUCAAUAGCUUAAGCAUCUAUAAGAAAAUGUGAAUAUUACUUAACAUGGUUAUUGUUGUACUGCAGUUGAAUCGUGUGAGAUAGACUUAAGCAGAAAAAAACGAUCUUCGCUACACCACAGGGGCUAUUGAUGUUCUUGGGAAACUAUGGUUUAACCUGAACUUUGGAGCCCGACCCGUAAAAAAGAGUGAUUCAACAGCUGGUUGAGAAUGAUAUUUCAUUGUGGAUAUUACAAAGAGAUUUCAGUCGAGAUGAUAUUAUUAUUAUUGACAUGUCCGCAGUAGUCAAGAAUGGUAUUCAUUUAGGAAAUUGGAGAGAGGAGAGGACAUAGUUGCAAAUAAUUGAAUAAAGGACAUGUGAGCUGUUAAUAGAUGGUUUUAAUAUUAAUAGUUAUGUUCAGGUGCAACUUUGAACACUGUUUUCCUUAUGGAACUAUAUAGUUACUGGAUGCCUAACACUCUAUUCCCAUGCACAAGGAAUGAGGUAAUUUCAGUUUUGAUUUGGUGUGUUAGGCAGGUCUGAUUAUUACAAAAUGUACCAAAACUUCUCUUUGGCUUACAAAGGUUUUAGCAAAACAUGCCGGAUAACUAAGGAUCGCCGAUGAAGAAGACUUCUCAAAACAAUUAAUCGGAGAUCGAAAUCCUUGAGUUGUUAUGCCGCCGCAACGCGCGGCGGGUAAAAAUUCUAGUUUUAUAUGAUUUAUUAAUAUAGUUCAUGCUCAAUUAUUUAGUAAUAUGUUGUUCCAAACUUCUAAUUAA